UACGGGGGGGGGCAAGCGUUGUUCGGAAUUACUGGGCGUAAAGGGCUCGUAGGUGGCCAACUAAGUCAGACGUGAAAUCCCCAGGCUCAACUUGGGAACUGCGUCUGAUACUGGAUGGCUUGAAUUCGGGAGAGGGAUGCAGAAUUCCAGGUGUAGCGGUGAAAUGCGUAGAUAUCUGGAGGAAUACCGGUGGCGAAGGCGGCAUCCUGGACCGAUAUUGACACUGAUGAGCGAAAAGCUAGGGGGAGCAAACGGGG
rnacentral:rRNA from 1 species